rnacentral:rRNA from 1 species
ACUGCUCAGUAACACGUGGACAACCUGCCUUUAGGUUGGGUAUAAACCCGGGAAACUGGGUAUAAUACCCGAUAGGUCUCGAUUGCUGGAAUGCAUCGAGAUUUAAAGCUCCGGCGCCUAAGGAUGGGUCUGCGGCCUAUCAGGUAGUAGUGGGUGUAGCGUACCUACUAGCCUACGACGGGUACGGGUUGUGAGAGCAAGAGCCCGGAGAUGGAUUCUGAGACACGAAUCCAGGCCCUACGGGGUGCAGCAGGCGCGAAAACUUUACAAUGCUGGCAACAGCGAUAAGGGAACCUCGAGUGCCAGGUUACAAAUCUGGCUGUCGAGAUGCCUAAAAAGCAUUUCAUAGCAAGGGCCGGGCAAGACCGGUGCCAGCCGCCGCGGUAACACCGGCGGCUCGAGUGGUAACCGUUAUUAUUGGGUCUAAAGGGUCUGUAGCCGGCCGGAUAAGUCUCUUGAGAAAUCUGGCAGCUUAACUGUCAGGCUUUCAGGAGAUACUGUCUGGCUCGAGGCCGGGAGAGGUGAGAGGUACUUCAGGGGUAGGGGUGAAAUCUUGUAAUCCUUGAAGGACCACCAGUGGCGAAGGCGUCUCACCAGAACGGACCUGACGGCAAGGGACGAAAGCUAGGGGCACGAACCGGAUUAGAUACCCGGGUAGUCCUAGCCGUAAACGAUACUCGCUAGGUGUCGGCCACGGUGCGACCGUUGUCGGUGCCGUAGGGAAGCCGUGAAGCGAGCCACCUGGGAAGUACGGCCGCAAGGCUGAAACUUAAAGGAAUUGGCGGGGGAGCAC